UGGGGAAUCUUCCGCAAUGGACGAAAGUCUGACGGAGCAACGCCGCGUGAGUGAAGAAGGUUUUCGGAUCGUAAAGCUCUGUUUUCAGGGACGAACGGCAGAUAUAUAAAUAAUAUAUUUGCAUGACGGUACCUGAGGAGGAAGCCACGGCUAACUACGUGCCAGCAGCCGCGGUAAUACGGAGGUGGCAAGCGUUGUCCGGAAUUAUUGGGCGUAAAGGGCGUGUAGGCGGGAUAAUAAGUCUGGUGUAAAAGUGCGGGGCUCAACCCCGUAAGGUCAAUGGAAACUGUUAUUCUUGCGUGCAGGAGAGGAAAGUGGAAUUCCCAGUGUAGCGGUGAAAUGCGUAGAUAUUGGGAGGAACACCAGUGGCUAAGGCGACUUUCUGGACUGUGUCUGACGCUGAGGCGCGAAAGCCAGGGGAGC
rnacentral:rRNA from 1 species